GGUGGGGUUCCCGAGCGGUCAAAGGGAACAGACUGUAAAUCUGUCGUCAAAUGGCUUCGGAGGUUCAAAUCCUCCCCCCACCACCA
rnacentral:tRNA from 1 species